rnacentral:lncRNA from 10 species
AAGGAAAUAGCGGAGGAGGGAGAAGGAGGACGGGGAAAUGACCGGGAAGAAGCGGCGGGUCGACUGGAGGGUGAACUCCCUGAGAGCAGGGGCCAUGUAUCUUCAAGCUUUCAACAACACCCAGCACAAGACUGGUAUGAGGCAGGCUUCAACAACUGUUUGUUAAAUGGACAAGAUGUUGCUCUGUCGUCCAGGCUGCAGUGCAGUGGCUUGAUUUCCUCUCCCUGCAGCCUCCACCUCCCUGACUCAAGCCAUCCUCCCACCUCAGCCUCCCAAGUACCUGGACUACAGGCAUGUACCACCACACCUGGCUAAUUUUUGUAUUUUUUGUAGAGACAGGGUUUCACCAUGUUGCCCAGGCUAAUCUUGAGUUCCUGAGCUCAAGUGAUCCAACCACAUCUUGGCCUCCCAAGGUGCUGGGAUUCCAGGUGUGAGCCACCGCCCCCAGCCAACAAUAAUUUUUAAGGAGAAAUACCAAAUCCAGAAUACUGAUUACCUCUGGGGAAGAAAACAAAAGAACAGAAUGAGAGAGAGAUACACAGGGAACUUCAACUGUUUGUCUAAUAUUUUACUUUCUAAGCUAGGUGGUAGGUACGUGGGUUUUUGUUAUCUUCUCUAUACUUAUUUGUAUGUCCGAAAUAUUUCAUAUUUUUUAAAAGACUACAAGGAUCUGAAACAAAAUGUUAAUAAUAGUUAAAUCUAGAUUAGUGGUUCUCUAACUUUCCCCAGCAUCAGAAUCACUGGGAGGGCUUGUUAGAACACCAAUUACUGGGCCUCAUGCCCAGAGUUUUGAUUCAGUAAGUCUGGUUUAGGGCCCAGGAUUUGCAUUUCUAACAAAUCAAAGUGACAUUAUCAGUGAAUUUAAUUUUCUUCCUUGUACUUUUCUGUGUUUUCCAUGUAUUUGAUGAAUAUUUAUUACUUUAGUGAGAGAUUGUGUUAUUUUUUAAAAUCUCUUUCAUCUCUACUUCCCACUUUCAUUUCCCUCCUAUAGGCAGCCAUUCAAAGGUGUUUUAUGCAUAUUUUUGCAUAUAUGCAUUCUUGGAAAAUACGUAUUAUUGCUUUAUGUGUAUUUCCUCCUUUUUUUUUUUUUUUUUUUUUGAGCCAGGGUCUUGCUCUAUCGCCCAGACUGGAGUGCAGUGGCAUGACCUCCACUCACUGCAACCUCCACCUCCUGGGCUCAAGGGAUCCUCCCACCUCACCCUCCCGAGUAGCUGGGGAACUACAGGCGCACAUCACCAUGCCCAGCUAAUUUUUAAAGAUGUUUUUACUGGUCUCGGCUGGGCACUGUGGCUCACACCUGUAAUCCCAGCACUUUGGGAGGCCAAGGCAGGCGGAUCACCUGAGGUCAGGAGUUCGAGACCAGCCUGGCCAACAUGGUGAAACCCUGUCUCUACCAAAAAGAAAAAUACAAAAAAUUAGCUGGGUGUGGUGGCAGGCG